rnacentral:tRNA from 3 species
GCGGGUGUGGUUCAAUGGCAGAAUAUAACCUUCCCAAGGUUGAGACGAGGGUUCGAUUCCCUUCACCCGCU